GCUGUGAUGGCCGAGUCGUUAAGGCGAGUGAUUUGAACUUGAUCAAAUAUCACUUGGUGUUUCACCGCGUAGGUUCAAAUCCUGCUCGCAGCG